UGGCGAGUGGCGAACGGGUGAGUAAUAUAUCGGAACGUACCCUAGAGUGGGGGAUAACGUAGCGAAAGUUACGCUAAUACCGCAUACGAUCUAAGGAUGAAAGUGGGGGAUCGCAAGACCUCAUGCUCGUGGAGCGGCCGAUAUCUGAUUAGCUAGUUGGUAGGGUAAAAGCCUACCAAGGCAUCGAUCAGUAGCUGGUCUGAGAGGACGACCAGCCACACUGGAACUGAGACACGGUCCAGACUCCUACGGGAGGCAGCAGUGGGGAAUUUUGGACAAUGGGCGAAAGCCUGAUCCAGCAAUGCCGCGUGAGUGAAGAAGGCCUUCGGGUUGUAAAGCUCUUUUGUCAGGGAAGAAACGGUGAGAGCUAAUAUCUUUUGCUAAUGACGGUACCUGAAGAAUAAGCACCGGCUAACUACGUGCCAGCAGCCGCGGUAAUACGUAGGGUGCAAGCGUUAAUCGGAAUUACUGGGCGUAAAGCGUGCGCAGGCGGUUUUGUAAGUCUGAUGUGAAAUCCCCGGGCUCAACCUGGGAAUUGCAUUGGAGACUGCAAGGCUAGAAUCUGGCAGCGGGGGGUAGAAUUCCACGUGUAGCAGUGAAAUGCGUAGAUAUGUGGAGGAACACCGAUGGCGAAGGCGGCCCCCUGGGUCAAGAUUGACGCUCAUGCACGAAAGCGUGGGGAGCAAACAGG
rnacentral:rRNA from 1 species